CGGGGUGUAGUAUACCGGUAGUACGCCUGCUUUGGGAGCAGGUAGACCGAGUUCGAUUCUCGGCACCCCGACCA
rnacentral:tRNA from 1 species